AUUGAACGCUGGCGGCAGGCUUAACACAUGCAAGUCGAGCGAGCGGCGGACGGGUGAGUAAUGUCUGGGAAACUGCCUGAUGGAGGGGGAUAACUACUGGAAACGGUAGCUAAUACCGCAUACCAUCAGAUGUGCCCAGAGGGGAUUAGCUAGUAGGUGGGGUAAUGGCUCAGCUAGGCGACGAUCCCUAGCUGGUCUGAGAGGAUGACCAGCAACAUUGGAAUCGAGACACGGACCAAACUCCUACGGGAGGCAGCAGUGGGGAAUAUUGCGCAAUUGGCGCAAGCCUGAUGCAGCCAUGCCGCGUGUGUGAAGAAGUCCUUCGGGUUGUAAAGCACUUUCAGCGAGGAGGCGUUACUCGCAGAAGAAGCACCGGCUAACUCCGUGCCAGCAGCCGCGGUAAUUC
rnacentral:rRNA from 1 species